rnacentral:rRNA from 1 species
CACGUAGGGACCGAGCGUUGUCCGGAUUCAUUGGGCGUAAAGAGCUCGUAGGCGGUCGGGUAAGUCGGGUGUGAAAUCUCCGGGCUCAACUCGGAGGGGCCACCCGAUACUGCACGACUCGAGUCCGGUAGGGGAGUGGGGAAUUCCUGGUGUAGCGGUGAAAUGCGCAGAUAUCAGGAGGAACACCGGUGGCGAAGGCGCCACUCUGGGCCGGUACUGACGCUGAGGAGCGAAAGCGUGGGUAGCAAACAGG